AGGGAGCAGGGGCGGGAGCCCGGAGUGCGGGGAGCGUUUCAGGGGGGCGCGUGGGAUCUCCCGGGAGCGCCCGGAGGCAGCGGCGAUGGCGCAGCCUGGGACUGCCAGGCGCGGGGCAGGAAGCGGCAGGCUGCAGGGAGGCCCCGCACCCCAGGCCAGGGCGGGGACCUGCCGCUCUCCAGCUGAGCCUGAGCGAAGGGUAGUUGCAGUUGGGCGAAGAAGCCCAGUAC
rfam:Ochotona princeps cont2.200690, whole genome shotgun sequence.